CAGGUACACCGCGCUGGUUAUAUUUCCACACACGCGAGUUCUUUUGGGUUAGCGUGUUAUGACUAGGUGAGGUCGCUCCCACUUGAGGUUUUCUUUACAGGUUGCAGGUUUAGUCUGCCCUGGCUCACUCAGUAAGGGCAAUGGCAAGAUUGGGGAUGGUCCCAGUGAAGUUUAACUUCUCUGUAGAUGGUGUACAGGGCAGGUCGAGUUAGCUUUAUCUUAUGGCUUUUUGUACUUUGAGACUUUGGGGAUUA